CCUACGGGUGGCAGCAGUAGGGAAUAUUGCUCAAUGGGGGAAACCCUGAAGCAGCAAAGCCGCGUGGAGGAUGAAGGUUUUAGGAUUGUUAACUCCUUUUGUGAGAGAAGAUAAUGACGGUAUCUCACGAAUCAGCACCGGCUAACUCCGUGCCAGCAGCCGCGGUAAUACGGCGGGUGCCAGCGUUACUCGGAAUUACUGGGCGUAAAGCGUGCGCAGGCGGGCUUGUAAGUCAGAUGUGAAAUCCUGUCGCUUAACUGCAGAACUGCAGUUGAAACUAGGAGCCUAGAGUGUGGGAGAGGUAGGUGGAAUUCUUGGUGUAGGGGUAAAAGCCGUAGAUAUCAAGAGGAAUACUCAUUGCGAAGGCGACCUACUGGAACAUUACUGACGCUGAGGCACGAAAGCGUGGGGAGCAAACAGGAUUAGAUACCCCAGUAGUC
rnacentral:rRNA from 1 species